AUAAUACUCCAUAGAUUAGAGAUACUGGAAUGUUCUUUAGUCAAAAGUUCUGGCGCCUUAGGAUGGAUCUGCGGUCGAUUAGGUUGUUGUUGGGGUAACGGCCCAACAAGCCUGUAAUCGAUACGGGUUGUGGGAGCAAUAGCCCGGAGAUGGAAUCUGAGACAAGAUUCCAGGCCCUACGGGGCGCAGCAGGCGCGAAAACUUUACAAUGCAGGAAACUGUGAUAAGGGAACCCCGAGUGCCCGUAUACGCGGGCUGUCCAGGUGUUUAAAAGUCAUCUGAAGAAAGGGCCGGGCAAGACCGGUGCCAGCCGCCGCGGUAAUACCGGCGGCUCGAGUGGUGGCCACUAUUAUUGGGCUUAAAGCGUCCGUAGCUGGACUGAUAAGUCUCUUGGGAAAUCCGCCGGCUCAACCGGCGGGCGUCUAAGGGAUACUGUUGGUCUAGGGACCGGGAGAGGUGAGAGGUACUCCGGGGGUAUGAGUGACAUCCUGUAAUCCCCGGGGGACCACCGAUGGCGAAGGCAUCUCACCAAAACGGGUCCGACAGUGAUGGACGAAAGCUGGGGGAGCGAACCGGAUUAAAUAUCCGGGUAGUCCCAAGCCGUAAACUAUGCGCGUUAGGUGU
rnacentral:rRNA from 1 species